CUGAUUCAUUGAGAAUAAAUAAAAUAUAUUCCAACACCUGGUCUGCGAUUCUCAGCAGAUGUUUUAGGUAUUAACUUGUAUCAACAAAAAUAGUAUUCACUGGACAAAUACCAUAUGGAAGUAUAGUGUAUGUUCUCUAGUCACAUUUAUAAUACAUUAAAAAGCAUUCUAGCAUAUACCCCUUUAUGGCACUGCCCUCUUCCCCAUACCCCACUCCUCCCUUUUCUCAUGGAAUGUUUUUAAGAGCUAGUUCUCCUGCAAGAGUUCUUCACAUAGAGCAAUGGGAAAUAUAAACAAACUUAAGCCACAAAUCAUUUUAUUAUAUCC